AUUGAACGCUGGCGGCAGGCUUAACACAUGCAAGUCGAGCGGAGUGAUGGUGCUUGCACUAUCACUUAGCGGCGGACGGGUGAGUAAUGCUUAGGAAUCUGCCAUUUAGUGGGGGACAACAUUCCGAAAGGAAUGCUAAUACCGCAUACGUCCUACGGGCGCAAGCAGGGGAUCUUCGGACCUUGCGCUAAAUGAUGAGCCGAAGUCGGAUUAGCUAGUUGGUGGGGUAAAGGCUUACCAAGGCGACGAUCUGUAGCGGGUCUGAGAGGAUGAUCCGCCACACUGGGACUGAGAAACGGCCCAGACUCCUACGGGAGGCAGCAGUGGGGAAUAUUGGACAAUGGGCGGAAGCCUGAUCCAGCCAUGCCGCGUGUGUGAAGAAGGCCUUUUGGUUGUAAAGCACUUUAAGCGAGGAGGAGGCUACUAGUACUAAUACUACUGGAUAGUGGACGUUACUCGCAGAAUAAGCACCGGCUAACUCUGUGCCAGCCGCCGCAGUAAUAC
rnacentral:rRNA from 1 species